rnacentral:rRNA from 1 species
UACGGGAGGCAGCAGUGGGGAAUAUUGGACAAUGGGCGGAAGCCUGAUCCAGCCAUGCCGCGUGUGUGAAGAAGGCCUUUUGGUUGUAAAGCACUUUAAGCGAGGAGGAGGCUACUAGUACUAAUACUACUGGAUAGUGGACGUUACUCGCAGAAUAAGCACCGGCUAACUCUGUGCCAGCAGCCGCGGUAAUACAGAGGGUGCGAGCGUUAAUCGGAUUUACUGGGCGUAAAGCGUGCGUAGGCGGCUGAUUAAGUCGGAUGUGAAAUCCCUGAGCUUAACUUAGGAAUUGCAUUCGAUACUGGUCAGCUAGAGUAUGGGAGAGGAUGGUAGAAUUCCAGGUGUAGCGGUGAAAUGCGUAGAGAUCUGGAGGAAUACCGAUGGCGAAGGCAGCCAUCUGGCCUAAUACUGACGCUGAGGUACGAAAGCAUGGGGAAGCAAACAAGGAAUUAAGGAAUAACC